rnacentral:rRNA from 1 species
UACGUAGGGGGGCUAGCGUUGUCCGGAAUCAUUGGGCGUAAAGCGCGUGUAGGCGGUCCGGUAAGUCCGCUGUGAAAGUCGGGGGCUCAACCCUCGAAUGCCGGUGGAUACUGUCGGGCUAGAGUGCGGAAGAGGCGAGUGGAAUUCCUGGUGUAGCGGUGAAAUGCGCAGAUAUCAGGAGGAACACCAAUUGCGAAGGCAGCUCGCUGGGACGUUACUGACGCUGAGACGCGAAAGCGUGGGGAGCAAACAGG